GGGGUGAGGGACCCCACCACCAGAACCUGCAUCUGGAGUCCCCAGGGCACCCCUGGGUGCCAGGGGUGGAGGGGUUUUGUGGGUGCCACAUCCUGUGGUGGGAGCCCCAGCUUCUCUCUGGUGCUGGAAGAGCUGUGUCCUCCCUAGCAUCAAAGUUUCUCCUGACCCCCUUCUGCUCUUGGAGCUGUGGCCGUGCUGCUUUUUUGUUGUGUUGCCAUGGUAACACUGCCUGCAUCCAUCCAUGGUCCUGCCUGUAUCUCUCCCUGCAUCUCGCUCUGGUGCUGCCUGUGUCUGUCCCUGGUCCUGCCUGCCUGGAUUGUACCCUAGCCCUGCCAUACCCAUCCCUGGUCCUGCCUGCAUCCCACCUUGAUACUGCCCUCGUCCUUCCUGUCUCCAUCCUGCCCUGAUCCUGCCUGAAUCAAUCCUAGCCUGGUCCUGGCUGUGUCCUGCUUGCAUCCACCCCUGGUCCUGCCUGCCUCCCUCCCUGGUCCUGCAGCUGGUGAGUGCCACCAGCCUCCUCUCUGGGGUUUUGAAGGGGGUUCUCCCAUCUGUCUGACACUGGACAAAACAUUAUUAACAGAUGAAGAGAGGGAGGAGGUGGGCAUUGCCGGGCCAGUCAAUCUGUCUCUGCUGGUCCCUUAUUGCAGCUGCCCGUGCUCGUGCCUCGGAGGUGCUGUGCUUCAUCAAGCCAGCGCCUGCCUCGCAGUGGGGUCACGCAGAGACAACCACUGUAAUGAGAAGAGCUGAAACUGCUGCGUGUAGCAGGAGGGGAGUGACAUCCCCGUACCUACCACCAGCCAGCCACAGGCUUUCUAGGCUUGUCUGGCCCAGAGCAGUGAGAGAGCUGAGAUCUCCUGGACUGACUUCAGUGAAUUUAUUAGCAGGCUCUUAGGCCAGGAGGAGGGAAGGUCCUGCCUGAACCCCAGGCUCGUCACUGGAGGGUCCGUCUCCAGCAUGAACACAGAGGCUGCCUCCUGCACUUCAAGAGGCCGUGCCAAAUCUUUGCAUAGAUUAGUCGUUAACAAUGGGGUUAAUAAUGAUAAUGGCACAAAUGUCCUGUGCCUGCAUGAGCUGCACUUAGGAAAAUCUGCCAGCACCAGUGCUGUGGCCAGCAUCCUCACCUUCCACAGCGUGGUACCCAGCUACCCCAGCACCUCUGCCAAGGAUGCUGCAGAUGUUGUCCAGCAGAUCUCUUUUCCUGCCGUCUCAGGAGCAAGGCUGGUGAAUGAUGUGCAGCAAGGAAUCACAGCUGUGAAUAACCAGCAAAUUCCUGGGAGGAGAGCCGGGUACCAGAUGCCGUGGAACACGUCUUUGCAGUGGUGCAGUCUGAGGCAGGUGAGGGUGAAGAUGCUCUGGUGCCUGCAUAAGAGCGUGGCAUGGAGGAAGGGGCUUAAGCUGAUGCUGAGUGUGGUGGAUUUAAUUUCCUCCCAGUAGCACUUCGAUAUUACAAGGUGCUCCAGAAAAACCAGAGAGGGCCUGGGGCGAAAUGCAGCCGAGUCAAUUGAAGUUAACUUCCCUGGGCACGAGG